CUUUAUUAAAGCAACUACUAUUCACAUGAAUAGACUUGAUGCUCACCACAGAACUAGCUUGUCUUGUCAGCCAGCCCUAACAAGUGCUUCUUCUGAAAGCUUUAUAUCCUUUCUCACACUGCCCAGCCUUGUUUUACUGCAGUGUAUACGUAUAUUUGGCACUAACCUAAUUCCCUUCAUUUCUUCUUCUAUUGCAGGUCAUUACUGCGCCCAUUGGUAAGCUCAUUCUACUGCCUGGAACUGAAACGGGCCACAGGAAAUCAGAUUUUGGAGCUGCUGUCACAAACAGCUGACAAAUGACAAGUGUGCUAUUCCCAAGGCCGCGACCAGAGGCAGUUGGUAGAACCACUUUAUCUUAGGAGGACUGUUAUGAAGGAGGCCAGUUGUUUUCUUAUCUUCAGCAGAAGGGUGGGCCUGGAACCAGCCCUCAGAGCCUCCUGUUGGCACAGAUAAAGAAUCACGUGCUAACGGGUGGAGUUCAUCCAAGGCGAAUAUGGCGAGCAGAGAUGUUAGCAGCUGAGUAAGAAAGUGGGUACUUUGGGAUCAGAAAUACUGGCAGGACACUGGAAGAACUUCAUGGGAGACUGGAGCUAGUACACUUGUCCUUGCUUUUCUAGGACACGAGAGACAUGAAACCUUUAGCGCAGCAGUGGUUGCUUUCUGCUGUGAUGGCUCAUUGGUUCAACAGAUGUGAGCAAACCUAUAGAUGGGCUGCAUCUCACAGUCUUAAAAGGCAUGAUCAGCAUGUGAUCCUCUUGAAAGCAUAAGGACCAUGCUUUCAUUCAGUCAUCUGGUAAUGAUGUCAAACAGCUGUGCUAGAUAUAGAUGGUUAUAGAUACAUUGGCUAGCUGUGCCGCUAUAACUAACAUAAACCUUAUUUCCUCUCCUACAAUAUUGCACUUACUCGUGUCUGUACAGGAAUUUUAGCAAGUAGUGUAGCUGCAUCAGUUUGUAUCACUGCAGUGUGAUGUGAACCUUGUUGCAAAUACUGCUGCACUGGUGGAAACCAUUACAAAAAGUUUCUUUCUCUCCUGCUGGUAAUAGCUCAUCUUAACUGAUCACUCUCGUUAUACAGUAGUGUGUAGGGUAACACACAUUGUUUCAUGUUCUCUGUGUAUAUAUAUAUCUUCCCACUGUAUUUUCCACUGCAGGCAUCCAAUGAAGUGGGUUUUAGCCCAAGAAAGCUUAUGCUCAAAUAAAUUUGUUAGUCUCUAAGGUGCCACAAGUA